GAGAGCGGGACAAACAAAUAUAAAUGCAAUGCAAGUGCAGUUCUCUCUUCUCAGUUGUCGAAAGAGAUGCAAUCUUAAAGCCUGGGGAAAUCCAAAGUGAGAAUUUUAAAUAUUCAACUUGUUUAAUACUUCUUAAGUGGGAUAUCCUGGACAGAGUUUUCCUCAGCAUUUCCAUGCUUGAAGCAUUCUUUAGGAAGAAACCUGAAAUGGAUAUGGAUUUCUAUAAACCAUACUGAUAGUGUUUAUCCUCAUGCAAUUACCUGUGAAUCACUGGAGAUAUCAAAUCCGAGUCGAGACUCUUGAUGUCCGUGGGAUUGGUCACCAGAGAGACCAGAGAACCCACAACGACAACCGUAAGUGCCCCAAUUGGGUUUAUCCAUUGGAAUGAGAGUCGGAAUAGUGGAAACAGCUGCUCCUCGUCCACCCAAACAUUUUCGGGAGCAGUCACAUUGCCGGGGCAACUUGCGAGGGACACAGGAAGCCGAUGGUGAUUGAGUUGUCCGGAUGCCGCCGCAAUUUGCGACCCGAAAGUUAUCCAUCCGGUCAGGAGGAAUCCAGCGAUUCCGCCCACCGCAGUGCCCACUGUAUUCGCCCAGGGAACCAGCACUCCCAGGGUAAAUAUGCCAAAGGUGGAACUAGUUGCGAUGGCCACCAGGGACAUGCAGAUGCUCAAGAUGCCACUCACUUUCUCCAGGAGAAGCACCGCACCGAAUACCAAUAAGCCCAUGAUUAGGAUGGUGGCUUUAACGAUAAUCGCGGAUGCAGUUUCGCCCGGCUGCAUCUUAAAACAGCCACGGACUAUGUCCUGCAGGAUGACCAAGGAGGUGGAGUUUAGGAAGACGGAGAGCGAACUCAGGCCAGCACCAAAAAUACCGGCUAUGAAAAGCCCUGGGAUUCCAUAGAUGUGACCUACACUCUGGACCACGAAGAGGGGCACCAGCUGAUCUUUAUUCUGCUCAGAUCGAAAAUAUUUUAAUGCAUAUCCAUACGAAUUACAGUUGGAGUACCCACCAUGAUUUGUCCAGCACUCAAUGGAUCACAAUCCUUGUACAUGUUAAAGAUGAGCAGGCCCAAGAAGCUGAGAACCGAGUAAAAGAUGACCGAUCCGAGGACAAAAUAGGCAAUGGAUGUCC